UACAGGGGGUGCAAACGUUGCUCGGAAUUAUUGGGCGUAAAGCGCGCGUAGGCGGCUACCUAAGUCGGAUGUGAAAGCCCCUGGCUUAACUGGAGAAGUGCACCCGAAACUGAGUAGCUAGAGUACGAAAGAGGGUCGCGGAAUUCCCGGUGUAGAGGUGAAAUUCGUAGAUAUCGGGAGGAACACCGGUGGCGAAGGCGGCGACCUGGGUCGAUACUGACGCUGAGGCGCGAAAGCGUGGGGAGCAAACAGG
rnacentral:rRNA from 1 species